rnacentral:rRNA from 1 species
CCUACGGUGUGCAGCAGUGGGGGAUAUUGCACAAUGGGGGAACCCCUGAUGCAGCGACGCCGCGUGUGGGAAGACGGUCCUCUGGAUUGUAAACCACUGUCCCCAGGGACGAAGAUGACGGUACCUGGGGAGGAAGCUCCGGCUAACUACGUGCCAGCAGCCGCGGUAAUACGUAGGGAGCAAGCGUUGUCCGGAAUUACUGGGUGUAAAGGGAGCGUAGGCGGGAUGGCAAGUUGGGUGUUAAAUCUACCGGCUCAACUGGUAGUCGCACUCAAAACUGCUAUUCUUGCGUGAAGUAGAGGCAGGCGGAAUUCCUAGUGUAGCGGUGAAAUGCGUAGAUAUUAGGAGGAACACCAGUGGCGAAGGCGGCCUGCUGGGCUUUUACUGACGCUGAGGCUCGAAAGUGUGGGGAGCAAACAGGAUUAGAGACCCCUGUAGUC